GGAGAGAUGGCCUAAUGGUUUAUGGCUCUAGAUAAAAAUAAUCCAGUAUCUUUGAGGGUUCGAUUCCCUCUCUCUCCU
rnacentral:tRNA from 2 species